ensembl:lncRNA
UCCACAUCGCCCCCUGGAGGGCGUCGUCCUUCUAACGCGUUGAAGGAGCCGAUCGAUGAACGAGGAGCAGAUUCAUGGAAGUAACCCUUCUAGAGGAACGCACCGCUGCUAGGGAUUGAGAAGACUCUCCCUCCUACAGAGAACACAGAGACACUGAGGAACCAGGCUUGAACAAGAAGGCAAAGCCAGGAUAAAGAGAUCGUGAACUGUGGCUUCAUCACGGCAUAUUGGAUGAAACGAGCUGCUGCUGGAAACACUGAGACUGAACCAAACAGGGAAUGAGCUGAAGCACCAAAACUAGGAGCUAAUAGAGGCUAACCAGCUG